rnacentral:lncRNA from 1 species
UUCAGAUCCACUUAAAUAGAAAGAAGCUAAUUAGAUUUCUAGUCGUCAAAUGAUAAUCAUUAUGGUUUCUUCUGAUAAUCAUUCCUCCAAAAACCGUUGUAGUUUCUUGACAUUCACUACCUAAACAAUGUAGCAGAAUAUCAUAUAAAAUGUUUGCUAAAUAGGUUAAAUGAAAGAAUGGAUAAGAAUAACCAUCUCAAAAAUCUGCAAAUGCUGGCUGUAUAAUAUAUACCCACAUAGGAAAGCCCGAUAUGCAUGAGUAAACCAAUUAAAGUGCCCUAAGAGGAUUAGACUUCAAUAUAUAAUUGCUUUGACCUCAAUUUGAUUUUGAUUUGCCUUUAAAAAAGGAAGAAUUGAAAAAAAUACUGACACAUUUAGCCCCUCUACUGUCACAAUUUCUAAAUCACAUGAAUCUAAAAGUUUGGUUAUUUAACUGAAUUUUUAAAAUCAUCUAACUCUAUAUUUUCAAUUUUGAGAAUUAUGGUAGAUGCAUCAAGUGUGCUUGAUUGUGAAACAUUUUGAGGAAUUACAGCAUUAACAUGAAAUAUAAAAGAAUUAAAAAAACAUAAAUAAAUGCAUAGUUUCAAUAAAUAACAGGAUACACAGGAAAGACAGCAUCCACUUCUUGCUAAAACUUCGAUACAUCCACAGCAGGAUAUGACAAAUUACAAGAGCACCAACACCGAUAAACAAGUAGAGGAACAUACAAAGAGUAAUUUACUUAAGAGAAAUAAUGUUUCUAACAUAAAAGAAGAUGAAUGUGUAACUUAUGAUGGAAGGCAUAAAAGAAGAAAGAUUUUAGAAGAACCUACAAAAUUCAACUUCAGCGGCGACAAAUAAUAAUGCCUACACAGCAUUUGUGAAAUGUUAGUAGAAGUAUGGCUGUGCAUUUUUUGUAAAGAGGAUAGAUGAAAGCAAUCAAACAAAAUAUAUCUGGAAAAAAUCAGAAUCAUGGUAAUAAUAACAAAUUUGUAUGAGAUGGCGGUAUAUUUUCAAUAAACAACUAUAACACAGAUGACACCAGCUAUUUUUUUUUAAAGAGAUUUAGAAAAACCACAAGGAAAAUAAGACAGAGAUAAUACCUUGGCAAGGGAGAUAUCUUUGUCUUUGAAACUUAAUGAAAUUUCUUAUGUGAAUUUAUCCCAUGCAUGUUUAACGAUCUGCAACAAGUAAUUUCAUUAGAAAUAUAAGAAGGAACGGUAAAAAAACAAAACAAAGAAACGAAUGGCCAUAAUAGCAAACAUGUCUGUGAGAAGAAUGAACAUGCCUGCUUUUUCCAAAUUGUUGUCUCAGCACAACCUUUUCCAUUAUGACUUCAGUCUUCAAGUGUGCACUGUAAAAAUAAACAUGGAUAAAAAACUAGGUCUUUUAAUAGAAUUUGUUCUCUUAUCUAAGGGAAUGAAUAGAACUAAAAAGUAACAAUGAGAAAAAUACCUGCAGUUGUGAUAAAUAUUCUCCAGAUUCAAGCUCAAAAGUUAAUUCUACACACUACAAUAUUUGCAUUACAAAGUGCAAAACUAGUACUUUUUCAAAAUGAUAUUCAAUAUUUUUUUGUGAAAUCCAAUUUCCUCAAUAAAAACAACCAAGCAUAUAUGGAAGUCAUAAGUUACACUUAAAUUGAUCACAUAUAGCAUAACCAAUUACAUAUCGAUGCAUUAAGAUCAAGCAAGUUAUAAUUUUAAUAGUGUUAUACAUCUUUAUUCCAUUGGGAAAUUUCAUAAGUAAAUCGACAAAUAUUACGCAAAAUAUGUCAUCACCAGCAUAAAUUUUGUAUACUUUUUCUUGAUCCUCAUCUGUCCAGCUACUCUGUUUGAUCCACUAUAUAAUAAAAACAAAAUAAAAUCAGUCUAUAAUAAAAUAAAUCUAUAAUAAGAUAAAAUAAAAUUAGCAUAUUUUAAAUAAACAUACAUUAAAAUUUUCAGGAUGAGCAUCCAUAUUUCUAAUAAAUAUUAUCAAGUCUCUAUAAUUGUCUUGAUAAGAACGGUUACGUCGAAAGCUAUUGACUUCUCUAAAUAAUUCACGAUUGACAUUGCUAAUUCAUGUUUUCUUUAUAUCAUGGAAACAGUCAGAUAUAUACCUAACUCUGUAAAAAUAAAAAUAAAAGAAUUGAUAUUAGUUUAAAAGUUCAACAAAUAUAUUAUAUUCUAUUAUUAAUUUAAAAUACCUAUAUUCAUGACCAUAUAUCUUAAAAUGUUCAUUCAACUUUUUCAAAGUCUUCACUUUUUUUGUUGUGACCACAAUGUUGGAUGAUUUGAAAGAACAUCGAAUAUUCUACAAUUAAAAAUAAAUAUUAUAUGAAUAUUUCAUUUUUAAUAUAUAAUAUAAAUUAAAAAUAAAUAACUUACGAGUUACAUUUUUUUAUGCUUCCAAAGAAAUGUGUAAAAGAACUUCAAUAUUCUUGUAACGACAACCGUCGAUGAGCAUACAAAUCAGAGAAAAAUUCAUCUAACAUUGGUAUAAAUUCGUCUAACAUUGGUAUCAUUUGAGAUAAAUUCUAAUUUUAAAAAUCAAACUAUCAAGAUCAAACUAUAAUAAAAUUAUAAAAUAAAAAAUAUACCUUUAAAUUUUAAAUCCAUAUUUCUAAUAAACGUUAUCAAGUUUUUAUAAUUGUCCUGAUAAGAACAGUUACGUGGAAAGCUAUUAACUUCUCUAAAUAAUUCACAAUUGACAUUGCCGAUCCAUGUUUUCUUUAUAGCACGGAAAUAGUCAGAUAUAUACCUAACUCUGUAAAAAUCAUAGUCAGAUAUAUACCUAGGCGUCGCAUAGGCGGUCAUGCGCUCCAGGUCGGAUCCGCCUAACCCAAUAACCCAUUUAAAUGACUUAAGUCAUUUAAAUAAGAGGGUGAGGGUUUAAAAAACCUUAACUCCUCUCUUAUUUCUUCUUUCUUCCUCUUUUCUUCCCUUCCCUCCUACAUUUGAACCCCAAACCCUAGAUUUUCAGAUCAUCUCCCCCAUCCAUUUUCUCCGGCCAUCUUCUAGGGAGACUUCGGCCACCACAAGGGAACACUCCGGCGACCUCCACACGUGCUCCGGCGAAGUCCAGGCAUGCUCCGGCGACCCUCCGGCCAUCGUUGACCUAGGUAUUUUUUGUCCCAAAUUUUUUUCCUAUGUGCCCCCUAUCUGUACAAACCUAUAUCUCACUCCGGACAGUCAUAAAUCGCACUCCGGCACUCUUAAAGAACACUCCGACGAUCACUUAAAAAAACACUCAGGACAGCAAUUAAUUUACCUCUGUCCAACCACAUUAAAAUCACUCCGGGCAGUAAUUUAAUCACUCCGGACAGCAAUUUUACAUUAGAUUUUUGAAGGUAAAAACCUAAUAUUUAAAUUGUAAAUUUAUUUUACAAUUUACAUACCUAAAAUCUAACUUAGAUUGUUGGAUUGCAUUUAUUUUUAAAAUUUUCAGAAAUGUCGGAUGACGAAGAAUACGUUCCUCCCUCAAACGAAGAACAAAUAGAGGAAAACAAAGUGAAGUGACACUCUUCUUUUUCCGAAGAGACGAUUAAUAACAAAGCGAAUCGACCGAAAUCCGAUGAUCCCGGAUGGAAAUACGGUUUCAUGGAAGAUCGAACAAAUCAAAACAAUGUUCGAUGUCUUCUAUGUAACUUUCUUUCCAAGGGUGGAAUAGGUCGGUUGAAGGGUCAUCUGACGGGAGGAGACAAGAACUGUAUCAAAUGUCCGAAUGCCUCGAGAUUUGUCUCAAAGGAGAUUGCGGACUAUGUCGCCAAAAAGAAAUUAGCGGCUAGCAAACGCAAGGACAAGCUACCAUUUACUCCAGAGGUUGAUGCCAUCGAUUUAGAUGACCCUAGCAAUGAGCGAACAUUGAAGAGGAAGUUGACGGUCUCCGGUUUCGUUUCAUCGUCUCCAACCUCCUCCGUACUUGGUCCAUUAAAUUUGAAGAAAGGGGAAACUAUUCAUGAUAUCGUCCGGAAAAGGAAGAUCGAGAAACAGAAAUCCGUCGUCGAAAUUGCCAAAAAAGAAGACAAAGAAAUGGUCGAUCAUAUCUUCUCAGGUUGGAUGUACGCAGUAGCUAUGCCAUUCAACCAAGCUCAACAUAUUGAAUGCUUAACGACUUGUGAAGCCAUUGGACAAUAUGGUCCAGCAUACCGGCCUCCAAAUAUGACUCAGUUGCGAGAGUCUUGUCUAGAAAGACAUGUGGGUGACAUCGAUGCGAUGAGAGCCAGGCACGAGAUAAAGUGGAAGACCAAUGGUUGUACUUUAUUGUCUGAUGGAUGGACAGAUGUCAGAGGAAGAAACCUAAUGAACUUCUUCGUGAAUUCGACCGAAGGAUCGUUCUAUCUUUAUUCCAUAGACACCACUCAUGAAAGAAAUACAGCUUCUUACAUUGCCAAGGCAUUAGAUAAAGCUAUGCAAGUCAUCGGCCCGAGUAGUGUGGUUCAGAUAUGUACAGAUAAUGCGGCGAACUAUGUCAGUGCCGGUGAAAUAUUGAUGAACAAGUACGACCAUUUAUUCUGGACACCGUGCGUAGCUCAUUGCUUGGAUCUGAUUUUGGAGGACAUUGGGAAACUGCCAAAGUACAAGAAGAUGAUUUCUGAUGGUCGCAAGAUAGCGACCUACAUCUAUGCCCAUGGUGUUCUCCAUAGCACUUUCUUGACCAUAUCAGGUGGGAAAGAGUUGGUGAGAUGCGGAGUCACAAGAUUCGCAACGUCUUUUCUCACAUUACAGAGUUUGAAAGAACAGAGGGAAAAUUUGAAGAAGAUUGAUUGGCUACCAUGGGCUAAUGUGACUUGUGGAAGUGAAGUGCAAAAAUUAGUCUGGACCAACUCUUUCUGGUUGAGCCUAUACGAGUGUUUGGCCGUUUCUGAACCUCUAGUGAGGUUGCUGAGAUUAGUUGACCAAGAUGACAAACCAUGCAUGGGCAGAGUUCUGAAUGACUUGAAGAUGGCAAGGAAGCACACUAGAGAUAUGUUGAAAGACAAAAAUCUGCCAUUGCUAACCCAAAUUGACAAGAGUAGGUUUGCUGGAAUGCUUCUCCCAACGCUUAACCCGGAUUUCGGUCGAUUCGACAAGAUCCGACCCGGAUCCGCCUAACCCGCUCCAGCGCAUGUAGGCGUUUUGCCUACAUGCGCUGGAGCGCAUGACCGCCUAGGCGUCGCAUAUAAAACUAUGGUCAUGACCAUCGCAUGACCGCAUGAACACAUGAAAAAGCUUGGUAAAAAUCAAGGUUUAAAAACCGACGGUUAACCGGCUGACCGGUAAAAAAUUAAAAACCGGUGGCCGGUUAAUUGGGACGGGUAAAUGGGUUGAUGGGUCGGGUCUUAUCCGUACCCAACCCGAAUACCCAACCCGGUUUCAAUAAAAUAAUACUUAUUUAAUCUGUUUUAAUUUGUUUUUUUUAAAGACUUCAAUUAAUAAAGCCCAUUACGUUUUAUUAAUAAGUUAUUUUAAGGCCUCAUUUAAAGGCCUUAUUUUAAUAAGUUUAAAUUUUAUAAGCCUCUCCUUAUAAGUUAUUAGACCUCAUUUGAAUUACUAUUUUGAAUUACUUAUUUGAAUUACUAUUUUGAAUUACUAUUUUGAAUGACUAUUUUGAAUUACUAUAUUGUUUAUGAUAUUUUUAUUUAUAUAAACAGGGAUAUAAACAUGGAUAUAAACAUGGAAUAGAUAUAUAAGUAUAUAACAGAAUUUCUGUUUUAAAAAAAAUUACGAAAAUACCCCUAUCGGUUAACCAGUGGUCUAACCGGUAAGCCAGAACCGGUUACCGGUUAACCGGUUUUUAAACCUUGGUAAAAAUAAAGAUAAAAGAAUUGAUAUUAGUUUAAAAGUUCAACAAAUAUAUUAUAUUAUAUUAUUAAUUUAAAAUACCUAUAUUCAUGACCAUAUAUCUUAAAAUGUUCAUUCAACCUUUUCAAAGUCUUCACUUUUUUGUAUGUGACCACAAUGUUCAAAACAUUGAAUAUUCUGCAAUUAAAAAUAAAUAUUAUAUGAAUAUUUCAUUUUUAAUAUAUAAUAUAAACUAAAAAUAAAUGACUUACGAGUUAAAUUUAUUUAAGCUUCUAAAGAAAUGUGUAAAAGAGCUUCCAUAUUCUUGUAAUGACAACCGUCGAUGAGCACACAAAUCAGAGAAAAAAUCAUCUAAUAUUGGUAUAAAAUCAUCUGUAUCAUUUGAGAUAAAUUCUAAUUUAAAAAAUCAAACUAUCAAAAUCAAACUAUAAUGAAACUAUAAAAUAAAAAAUAUACCUUUAAAUUUUAAAUUCAUUGUUGACGAUAACGUUGUAAUAUAAAAAGUCCCUUUUUGACGAAAAUAGAAUUUGUUGUAAGCUUAAUCGGGAACAUUUCAUUACUUUCAGAGCGAGAUAAUCCAUUGAAAAUAUUUCUAUAUAAAAAAAAUCGAUUAAAAAAAAUUAACGUUAUAUAAAAUUAUGUAAUAAAAUACCUUAAUAUUUCACUCAAUGCGUUAUAAAUUUAUAAUAUGCAUCUUUUACUUCUUUCAGCUCUUCUAUAUAUCUGUAUAGGGUUAUUGUUUUUGGAUAUAUAACAUAAGUAAUACAUUUAUGCACGAAUGUAUCAAAUACUAAUAGACAGUUUUUCAUAUAAAAAAAUUGUUCAAAAGUAAAUAUUUUUAUACCAUCGAUAUUUUUUAAUAUAUAUCACUGAAAUACUCCGACUUCCGCAUUUUCAGUUAUAAGAAGAGUUGAAUAAACAUAAGCUGAAGCUGUUUGACAUAAAUACAUGGCAUUAACCUAAAUAUAGAUUUAAAUAUGGAAAUAAUAAUAAAUAUAUAAAAUAACUAAAAAAAUAUAUAUUUUUUAUUUUUUUUGAGAAAUUAAAACUUUUAUUACUGAAAAGAGGUUGGGCAUGACCCAAGAUUACAGAAUAAUAUAGGGCAAUGCAAGUACAGUAAAUGUAAAAAUAUUGUCCAUCUCUUAUGCAGCUAUAACCCUGACUAACUGGCCAAGGAUUGAAGCUUCAAGAGGUUGGACUCCCAUGAGCCUAUAGCUUGUAUUUCAAUCUGUGAAAGAUUGUGCUUUUUAUAAGAUGUAGAAUCAUAUGUAAUGCUCACAUCCUUUAUAAUUUCUCUGCUGACAAUUUCUGGAGGCCUUAGGGUGUGUUGUUUUAAUCUUCUAUUCCUUUCACACCAUAUGUGCCAGGAAAGAGAUGCUAGCAUAGUCCAGUGUACCCCCGAACAACUGGACUUGUGGGUGAAUUUUUGUAUUGUUUUCAUAAUAUCCCCUAUCCUAAUAUCUAUUGUGGGAGGUGGGGAAUUUUACCCAUUAAGUGUCCAAACAACAUUGUUAAACCAGCUAGUGGUCUCUAGUGUAAUGGCAGUUAAAGUAUAGGUGUUGUAAUGUUUCUUCCUCAUUUCCACAUAGUGGGCAUGACGUAUUUAUGUUGAGUCCCCAACUUUGCAGUCUAGUUAAAGUGUUCAAACUCUUGACCUUAAUUCUCCACAACAGCAUAAAAAAUUUUGGAGGCUUUUUGGCCCAGAUCCCUAGAUUUAUCUCUUGUAAGAUGCCUUUGGGCCUUAAUGUUUCUGAGUGCAUGGAGGAGGCAAUUUGUGUGACCCUAUAGUUACUCAAGCAGUUUAUACAUUUCCUUAUUGUUUCCUUAUUAGCUAGUAUAGUUUUCCACAUGUGUGAGUCCAGAGUAGGCCUACACUCUAUCUCCCCAAUGCUUCUUCCUUUGAUGUACCUAAUUUUUACCCAGUCUGCUAGUAUGGAGUUAUUAGGACUCCACAUCCUCUCUGUUUUUUUAACCAAAGCUGCAGCAUUAGUUGCAAAGAAAUCCCUGGCCCCUAUUCCGCCUUCGCUCUUUGGGAGUGCCAUUUUUGCCCAACUACUCCCUCUUCUCUCGUCCCAAAUGAAAUUGUAAGCUAGGCUCUGGAUCUUUUUAAUGACUGUACAUGGCAGUGUGGUUCCGUUUACCCAGUAUUGAAACUUACCUUGUAGGACCCAAUUUACUAAUUGGGUUCUGCCUGCGUAAGACAGACAUCUCCCUUUCCAUGUGGCUAACAUUUUUUCUAUUGGAUUUAUUAACUUCCAACAUGUCGCGUGAGAUUUCUUUCUUCCUGUUAUUGGGAGACCAAGAUAGUUGAUAGGGAAGGGUUUAGUUGGAAAGUUGAGAAUGUUAUGCAGAUAAUGAUCAUUCAUGCAUACUUUUGAGUAGGUUGCCGAGCUCUUCUCCUGAUUAAUCUCGAGGCCUGAGAAUUUGGAAAAAGUCUCUAGGAUUUUCUUGAUUGUUUCUAAAGACUUGGGAUUUGCUUUUGAGAAGAUCAACACAUUAUCCGCGUACAUGAGAUGCGAGAUGGAAACCACUCCAUUCACGAUAUAAGUAUCCAUCCUUUUAUCUUUGAUCUCUUUCUUUAUUAGUCUACUAAGAUUAUCCAUUAUCAGGUCGAAUAAGAUAAGAGACAAUGGAUCCCCCUGCCUGAUUCCUCUAAAGUUAGUGAAGGAGGGAGUGGGAGAUCCCUCCACCAGUACCGAAAAGGAGGCUGUGGAUAUACAGUUAUGUACCAAUUUGCACAACAGAGGGUUGAAUCCCAUUGUGUCAAGGGUGUGUGUGAUUGCUUGCCAUUUCACUGUAUCGAAUGCCUUUUUGAGAUCUAUACUUAAACAACAUCUUUUGGGGGUUCUAAUUCUCCCGAACCAUGUACCAUCUCGUCUGCCAAGAUAAUGUUAUCUGAGAUGCUUCUUCCUGCUAUGAAAGUUGUUUGGUGAUGAGAUAUUAACUCGGAAGAGACCUUGGAGAUCCUAUCAGCCAAGAUUUUGGUGAGAAGUUUAUAAAUUAAGUUGACACAGGAGAUUGGCCUAAAAUCCGAUAAUUCGGUAGUUGUGGGUUUUUUUGGGAUAAGAGUGAUAAAUGUGUGAUUAAUUGACUUCAAUAUGGGUUUGCCGCUGAAGAACUGUCUGACACAAGCUAGGAUUGUUUGCUUUAGUUCCGGCCAGAGAGCUUUGAAGAAACCCACUGUGAAACCAUCAGGUCCUGGGGAUUUCCCCAUUUGAAAUGCGAACAAGGUGGAUUUGACUUCCUCUUCUGUGAGUUGUUGAGUCAACCAUAUGUUCAUAUCUUGAGAUACAAUCCUAGGGAAAAUAACGGGAGAUGGUAUAUCUGGGAAGGGAGAACUCUUGUAGAUAUCCUUAAAGUAAUCCACACUCCUUUUUCUAAUUGGGCUCUUGAGAUGACUACCCUACCCUUUCCAUUUAUUAAUUUUAGAGUUGAGUUCUUUGCCUUAUCUUUGUAGUAAGACUAAAGAACUUAGUGUUUGAGUCUCCUAAUCUAAGCCAGCUGACCUUGCUCCUUUGUUUUUGGUUAGCCUCCUUUAUUUUGAGUUUAUUGACUAACUCCUCCUGCUUCUUUUUGACCUCUUCUUGGAUAGAAGGGACUAUUGGGCUAGUGUUUAGUUGCUUCACCAAGGAAUCAAGUUCCUCCUUAGUGGUUGUGAUCUGUUUUGCAUCACUACCCUUGGUCGCCGUCCAUUCCUUUGCGAGUAUUUUGACCUCUUUUAAUUUCUGUUGUAGGCAAUAUAGCCCAUUGCCGCAAAUUGGUUUAGCUAGUCCUCUCCUGGCUAGAUCGAGAAACUCUUGCUCCUUCAACCAUGAAUCGAACAAUCUGAAAGGCUUUGGUUUCUGUGCUAUUUGCGCAAUUGAGAUAAGCAUUGCAGCAUGGUCGUUAUGCGAGCCAUUCCAAAACUCUACCCUUAUCUCUGAAAAGAGUGAAAUCUAAUCUUGAUUCGAGAAUGCUCUAUCCAGUCUAGAUUGUACAAACCUAUCCCCUGCCUAUCCCCUGCCUGCUUAUUAUUCCAUGUAAAUUCCCCCUAUUGAGGGGACCUCGAUUAACUCUGCUAGGUCGGUAGCUUCAAUGAAUUCAGAAGGCUCUCCAUGAGCAUAAACCCCAGCCCCUGGUCCUCUCCUUUCCUCUGGAGUUCUUAUUUCAUUGAAAUCACCCAGCACUAACCUCUGGAGUUCUCCUUUCCUCUGGAGAUGAUAUUAGGUUGGAUGUUCUUAACUGUGUUCCACAACGGUCUCCUAGCUUCCCUUGUGUUGUUUGCAUAUACUACGUAGAUAAAGAACACCAAUCCACCCUCGUAUACCUUAGCAUGAAGUAUUUGCCUAUCCAACAAGAUUGGAACCACCUUCCAAUGGUCUUUUUUCCAUAAAAUCCAGAUUGAGUCUGAAUAUUCUUGGUCAUGUGGGAUGUUGUUUGAAAUUACCUCCCACUCCUCCGAAAAAUUGUCUCUUACUGUUUGGAAUUGUUUGGUUUUAACUCUAGUCUCUAAUAGCGCUACUAUGUCUAAGUUCUUUUUAAGCAUCACAUUUUUUACUUCAUUCUGGAUUAGAGGGGAGUUAACCCUCUAACAUUCCAGGUCAUUAGCGCCAUUGUUUGGGACUAAUGACCUAGCGGUGAUGGGAUGGCUUAGUCUAGUUAAUUGCCCGGGUGGCCUUUGCCACCUCUGCAAUUGGGGAAGAUUUUUUGCUCGAUGAAGCAUUCGAAGAGUUGGCUUAGACACUAAGACAUUACAUUACAACACCUAAGGCAUUACAAUCAUGUUUAUAUUUCUUUGAUGGACAAGAUCCUAUCAAAGAAACCCCCGUUUGUUGAUAUCAAACGUCUACCAAAGUAUCCCAUCAAGAGGAAGCCUUCUUUGAGCAAUGUUGGUUCGUCAUCUUCUAGAACCAAAAAAAUCAUAUCGUACGGGAAAAUUAAAGUUGAGUCUUUUAGGUUUUGAAGAGGGUCAAACAUUUGAAGAUAGAGUGAGGUCAAGAAAGACCGAGGAAAAUCGAUAAAGGAUCGUUGCUGAACAUUAUAAAGUUCAAGAUAAAACAAAAUUGUCGUUGAUUGCGGUGCGAAGUUUUUCAUCACUAGUGGUGUUGCGUUUAACCAGAAACAUGGAAUGGGAGGAAAUUUAUCAAUCUUUUAGACAAUCUGAAUUUUGGCUACAUUAAAUGACAUUAAGGUUUUAGCAAAAGUUAUUAGACGUUACGGUCUGAGCUACAUUAUACCCUCGCCUUAUUUUCGGAUCUCUUUUGGAGAAAAAGUUCAGAAUAUUUACAACCUACGGAAGAAACAUGAGGUUCAAUUUGCUAAAUAUGGAUGCAUAUUGAUGAGAGACGAAGAUUGGAGAGUUUAUUGCUAAGGGUCUGUCUAAGGUGAUUGAGACAAUCAGUAAGAAUAAUGUAGUUCAACUGUGCACCGACAAUGCAUCAAAUUAAGUUAGUGCCAAACUCUCUGUGCCGCACACGUACUGGAUCUCGUACUUGAAGAUAUUGGAAAGUAAAAUUCAUUUCAAUUCUAAAUUGAGAUCAAUAUAUUGAACCUAAAGAAGGGGUGCAUCAUGCAGCAGAUUAUAGUACUCAUCUCAUUGCUAAUGAUGAGUUUAAUGAAGAGUGAGAAGGAUCCACUGAUCUGGCUCUUAAAUGGCUUGACCCAAGUCAGGUCAUUCCCACCUCUCAUUAAGAGGAUAUGACCAAAUUGAAUAGUAGACUUUGAACACGAUAAGUUUACUGUGUUCAACACAGUAAGAUUGGCUCACUGGUUUCAGUAACUAUUGAGCUUGCUGAGGUUCAAGGAUUGAAUCUCACUGUGUACAUUUCCAUCUAGAUUUGCCCGAUGAUAUAUUAUGCGACUCUGGUAUAUCAUCCGGAGGUUUGACAGCUCUACAUCUGUAGAGAGGUACCCUCCGUUAUCAAAAAAAGAAAGAAUAGUAGACUUUGGUGAAGUUCGAUCCAUAGAUUAAAAAGCGACACUCAUCUGAUUACAAGGUUUAGGUUGCGUCAUGGCGCAUAACGUCGACAACCAGCGCUAUGUAGGCGUUUGCCUUCAUGCGCUGGAGCGGGUUAGGCGGGUCUGGGUCGGAUCCGACCCGGAUCCGCCUAACCCAAUAGGUCUGUUAUUUAUUUAUUUUUUUAAAUUUAAAUAUAAGGCCCAACCACCCAUUUAAGGCACAUUUAAAUGACUUAAGUCAUUUAAAUAAGAGGUUGAGGGUUUUAAAAAACCCUAACCUCUUUUCUUUCUUGUUUCUUGCACCUUUCUAACCCUAAAUUCAUAGAAGUCUUAUAAUCUAUGUAUUUACAUUUUAAAUUUUAGAUUAAUAGUCUAUUACUUUGUAUUAGUAAUUUCAGGUUUUAAAAUUUAUGUAUAUAUUUUUUUAAAUGUUUCUGAAUUUACCCAUAUUUUUUAGCAAAUAUAUAUAAGUUCAGGGUAAAUUUGCAAAAUUUACCCUAUUUUCAGGCGACCGCCUAGGCGUCGCCUGAAGCGCCUAGGCGGCCAUGCGGUCAUGGCCAUCGCAUGACGGUGAAGUUCGAUCUAUAACUAUAUUCAAAAUCAUCUGAUUACAAGGUUUAGGUUGCGUCAUGGCGCAUAACGUCGACAACCAGCGCUAUAGGGAGAUAGCGUGCUAUAGCCCCAAGUGUAAUUUAAAAAAAAAAUCAGAUAAAUUUUAGUGACCAAAAUAAAAAAGUAAAAUCAAACCUUGUUUAAAAAAAAAUUAAAAAUCAAGAUGAAGAUCUGAGCCUAUUUAAAAAUUCAGAUCCUUUUUUUUAAUCAGAUUAGAACAUGUUUUUAAAAAUUAGAAUUAUGAUUCUAAGAAAAUAAAAAUAAAAAAUAAAGAUUAGAAUUCAGUUUAUAGAAUUCUGAUUUAAAAAAAAUCAUCUUGCCAGCUCAUAGUUUGGGGAGAUAGCAUCGGCUACGAGGUUUAUAGCGAGCACAACUUAAACCAUAGUUAAAGCAAUUAAAAAGUAAAAUCAAUUUUUUUUAAAUAAUAAAUUAAUUAAACGGACCAGCGAUGAUCACCGGUUUAAAAUGACCAACGGCUUUCAAUUGACCUCGCCGAAUUAGAAUUGCCCAACGAGGGUUGCCAAGAUGCCACUUAUCAAUGUAGUUCCUUGUUAUUUGUUCUAGUUCUCUGUAGUUCUUGAACUCCUUGUUAUUUGCUUUGAAAUUUUCUAUCCUCCAUCCUCUGUGUGGAUGUUCUUUGCUGCUACUUGUGGGUGUUUGAAUUUUUUCUAAAAAUGUUGUUGCUUCUACUCUAAAAUCCUUGUUGCACUAAUUUCCUUUGUUUGUUGAGAUCCACAUUUUAGCAGAAGUGCCUCCAGACUGUUCCUUCAUUCCUAUUCUCCUUUUCCGACCACCUUCUAGAUAUUUUUAAGGAAUAUUAUUGCCAACUUAACUCUCCAGAAGUCCACUCCUUGUCCAGGUCAUUAUCCACAUUCUCAGAUAUCAACCUAGUGUCCAGUUGGAAUGCCUAUCUUUCUCGUCUUUAAACUAGCCUGUAGCAAGUUUCUCUUCUUUUUCCUCUUGUUUCUCGUAUUUUUCACCAGGAAAACCUUCCUAUUGCAGAAUAACUCCACUUGUAGGAUUACUAAGGGUGUGGGUGUGUAGUUGUCUAAGAAACAGAGAAUAUACCUCCGAAGAACUUGGUUGGAGUUAACUAUCCUUGGUGGACUCCGACGAGAGAUACCACUUUGGAGGUGACCUUGGGUGGGGCUGGUGGUGUAACAUGAGAUUAUCUAUAAUCGGACAUUUCUGUCGUGUAGUGUGACUGCCCAGAAUUCUUCUUCUUAUUGCACUAUUCUAUUUUUUCUAUUUAUCUGAAUAUAAUUCAUUAAUCAAACAAAUAAGUAUGACUAUUUACUAGUCACUGUUAAUAAAAAUAAUGAUAUUUAACGGAUUUCUUGCUCUACAUUCGAAGAUUAACUACCACACACAUCCGGUUAGACUUCCCUUGUUGGAAUCCACUAAAACCGAGCUGGGGUUAGCAUCUGCAAUUGAGGAGACACAAUUGCAGAGAGAUAUGGCACUGCUAACAACUCAAGUAGUAGUGAAUUGAGUGGAUUGGUUUUUCUGACAAAAAGAUACGAUGUUAAAUAGCCUCACCUGGGUUUUUUUCACCUUCCCACUAUUAAAGAUCAUCACAAUAGAUGAUUAUCAACAUAUAUUGGACAAACAUGAAAUAUCUCUUCCCUAUCAACAGAUGAUCGUAGAUAGAGAUAAACAACUUCAUAGUUAAGGAAUGUAACAUAAUAUAACAAGAUGGAAGGAACCAAAGGUCUUCGACAGAAUGUAACUAUCUAUAAACAUAAGGGAAUGAGAAAAAAAAAAUAGUAAUCAGUUUUACCACCAUAUAUCAUCACUAUCAUUCAUAUCUUGGUGCGGACUUAGGUACGAGGACAUAUCCUUGAAGAUAAUGGGAAUGAGAAACUCGAACGACAAUUAGAUUAACAAAAAAGAAGACAUUUUUUUCACUAUUUUAGAGAAUAUCUAUGAAAAUGUCCAUUAAAAUUUCAAAAUAAAUGUGGAAAAAUGAAAUGACAAUAAAUAAAUAAAUAAAUAAAAGUUACCUUUUUAAUUUUAAUGUUUCCGUAAAAUAUCAACAAAUGAUGGUUGAACAAAAUUUGAUCUGUACAUGACAGAAGGAAGUUUAUCAAGAAAAAAUUAAAAAAGAAACACUGAAACACCAAAUCCUAAAUGAAUAAAAUAGGAAAAUCUCCAUCAAAUCUCUUUCUUUAAGUAAAUAUAUAUCUAUUUCUUGAAUAUAUAAAUUGAUAUUAUUAUAACUAUUUAGAUCUCUUCUCUCCUGAAAAUCCAGAGGUAAUUCCAGAUCUACGUCUAACCCCAACUCCCAAACUCUAACAUUUGAAAAAGGCAUCGAUUAGAAAAAUAAUUAAAAGAGGGGAAGAUCAGUGUCGGUGGAAAAUGCAGCAGCAGUAAUAAAAUUAAAUACAGAGACACGAUAUGGGAAAGAUGAAUAUCGGUAAUAAAAUUAAGAACAGAUCUGAUUUGACCUUUGAAUUUAUGGCAUCGGUGGUGUAUCGACGGAUUUGAGAUCUACAAAACCCUCCUCCUCUGCUUGAGUUGUGCAUUUUCCUAGUCUAGAUGGAGAAGUUGUGAAGAGUGAAAAGUGGGUUUUAUCAUAUAUUAGGGUUUUGAGACGUACAGGUUGGAUGAUAAUAAUAAACUUUUGGUGUUGGGACGGACGGGUUUUAUUAUAAGAUAAAUCCACUGGGCUUGGGCAUUCG